UAGCCACCCAGUUUAGAGCUCCCAGCCUCAGUGUGUCUUGUGACACAGGGACCAUGACGGAAAUUCAUCUUCCAGAAAGUCCCAGAGCAGCGUCCACACCCCCUGAAAAGACCAAGAUGUGAGGUGUCUGCUGUUGAUUCCAGCUUCCACCUCAGUGACAGUGCAAGAUCAGUGAACUGUUCAAGGACACUCAGCAAAAUAUGGACUCUACACCAUGAGGCAGGCACACGUUAAUAUUCUAUAAGAGCACAUAAGCAUGAGGAUGUCCUCACACACCUGUAACCUAUCAGCUCAUCUGGAAGAAUAGAGAGAGAAGAGACAACACCACAUCUCCUGUUCCUGGAAAGCCUUCAGCCAUCCUUCGAUGACUGAGAACCUCCAUCAGCUCUGUCUCCUGUCUGCCUACAAUUAUUAUAAUAAAUACUGUGUUUGACAAGUUU